rnacentral:rRNA from 1 species
AUGGAUCUUGCAUCACAGCACGCGACAGCCAUGGCGGAUGUUGUGACGCACACGACGGGAACGACGGGGAUGCAACACAGGGAUGCUGCGUUGCAGCGCUGGACACACGGCGGAUGCUGCGAUGCAGCGCCGAGCGCGAUAGAUGUGGCGACGCAGCGCGCGGCGGCUCAUGGCGGAAGCUGCGCUGCAGCGCCAGCGACGACGGGUGCUUCGACGAGACACGCGACGGCCAUGGCGGAAGCUGCAAAGCAACGCGCUGCGACGACGGCGGAAACUGCUAUGCAGCGUGGGGACGCUACGAUGCAGCUCCAACGACGGCCAUGGCGGAAGCUGCGUCGCGGCGAUGAUGGGGUAGAAGCUGCUAUGCAGCACACAGCGAAGACGGCGAAAGCUGCUAUGCAGCGGCGACGGUACGAUGCAGCUCCGGCGGCGCUUCAAUGGAGCCACGACGGAGCUUCAAUGCAGCCACUACCGACAGGUCGCCCCCCUCCUCCACUGUGGUGGUGUUGCUUGCCUCUCUGCUACCUGACGAACGAGAAGGGGAAAGAAACUGGUGGACGAUAUGCUUCGUGGAGAAGAUAA